UACGUAGGUGGCAAGCGUUGUCCGGAUUUACUGGGCGUAAAGAGCGCGCAGGCGGCUGGUCAAGUCCGAUGUGAAAUCUCCCGGCUCAACUGGGAAACUGCAUCGGAAACUGAUCGGCUUGAAGGUGGGAGAGGGUAGUGGAAUUCCCGGUGUAGUGGUGAAAUGCGUAGAUAUCGGGAGGAACCCCUGAGGCGAAGGCGGCGUCCUGGCGCACUUCUGACGUUCAGACACGACAGCAUGGGGAGCGAACGGG
rnacentral:rRNA from 1 species